rnacentral:lncRNA from 1 species
AACUAUUUCAGUCCAUACAAGGUCUUCUUCAGUCUGCAUAUCUUUCCUUAUAUUUUUUCAUCGGCAAAUUCAAAGGGAUUUCCUCUUAUCUUCUAAAUUUCCUGGAGACAUGUAUUUUUCACAUCAAACUGCUAUAGGUCCCAAUCAAGAUGGUUGCGUAUUGUCACGGUUUCAGAUUUUGGCCUGGAACCGUGUGGCACUUGGUUUGAACUCUUUUCAAGCCAAGUCAGCCAAGCUCUCUACGCGUUUACCUGGACAAAGGAACGUAAAGGUUAGGACCUCCUGCCCCAUUCUCGUAAAAACGGAGAAUACCACAGUUACCAUAUGAAAAUAUCAUGAUCGGAUAAUUAUAGCAACUAAAAGCACAUCAACAAGCAACCAAGCACCGAGAUUUAUUGAAUAGGCUACUUAUUUUAUUCCAGGGACAAAAUAGUCAUUACACAGUCAUGUCAAUGAUCCAUUCCCAACUUGCAGACAGGGGGGAACGCCUGCAAGAAGAGAAGGCACAAUCCAGGGACUCAACAAGCCUACGGUGGCCAGUCGGGCCCAGCCCUUGCUGGUGGCCAACUAGUCACUCCCCCCUAAAGAGCCUUAAGAACAAGUAGAACUAUGAUGGGAGGAGACAUCAAUAUGUCUGAGGUGACACCCCCCCUUUUAUAAACAAAUAAAAAGGAAUUACAAAAAACUGACACGGCCCUUUUCUUCCUACUAAUUUCUACUAAUUUAUCCCAAUAUUGUUUUCUAAGAAUUCCACUAUUGGAAAAUUACAGUUUUGGUCCCUGAAACUCUAUGACCCUGACACUCCCCCACUUAAAUGGUCGACGUCCUCGUCGACUGAGCGUUAAUGAAGUCCACUAUCUUGUGUGCAUAUGCCUGUAGACUUGACUCCUCCCAACUGAUUUCUUCAACACCAAGGCCGUUCCACUUGACAAGGUACUCUUUGUGUGAUGGAUGCCUGGUGGACUUGACGAUUCGUUCCGCUAUGAUUUCUUCAACUCCUUGAUUGACAGGUGGUGCGCGGGUUACUGCUGGUCGUGACGUCAUGUUACGGCUUGCAUUUGACUCAUCGGCAUAAUAUGGCUUCAAUUUGCUCACGUGAAAUACUGGGUGGACUGUCAUCCACUUCGGAGGUUCGAUUCUGUAAGCAGCAUGUCCAAUCUUGGCAACUACUGGUACUGGUCCUUCAUACUUCCGGACUAAUCUUUUGUCACGGUUGUGGAGGAAUCUCAGCUGCUCUGGCAAUAGCUUCACCAUCACUAAGUCACCGACUGUGAACUCCUGCGGGUGCAGGUUCUCAUCUGCCCAUUUCUUCAUAUGACUCUUAGCUUUCUCCAACUGAGCGCGGGCAAGCUCCACAUUUUGUCUCCACUCCUUACUGAAUUGGAAUGCUUUUAGAUUGCGACUUGAAUAAGGCCCAUCUACAUUAUAAGGUGCCAACAGUUGUUGACCUGUCACAAUCUCAAAAGGACUUUUGUUAGUAGUAGAGCUCUGUAAAGAAUUAAAACAAAAUUGAGCAAUAUCAAGGAGGGAAACCCAAUUCUUCUGGCUAGCACUAACAAAGUGUUGUAGGUACUCCUCCAACAUUCCAUUAACUCUCUCCGUUUGUCCAUCCGUUUGAGGAUGGUAACUUGAGGACAUCGCCAGGUUGGUGCCCAACAACUUGAACAACUCCGACCAAAAUGACCCUGUAAAUCUUGCAUCACGGUCACUAACUAUGCUCUUUGGGAUUCCCCAGUAUUUUACAACAUGCUUGAAAAAUACUUUAGCAGUCUCCUUUGCCGAGCAAUAUUUUGACACCGGCACGAACGUGGCAUAUUUGGAAAACCUGUCGACAACCACCAAAAUGUGAUCAAAUUCCCCCACUCGUGGGAGUCCAGCUAUAAAGUCAAUGGAAACACUUUCCCAUGGCCUACUCGGCACUGGUAAUGGCUGUAACAACCCUACUGGUUUUUGUCUGUUCGCCUUAUCCUGUUGACAAACCAAACAAGUCUUUGUAUACUCUUGGACGUCAUUCGCCAUUUUUGGCCAAAAGUACCCUUGCUUCAGAAGUGCUAAAGUACGCUGCCACCCUGAAUGGCCAGCCCACCUAGCGUCAUGACAUUCCUUUAAUAACAAACUUCGAAGUCCUCCUGCUUUGGGAACAUAGAUUCUGCUCCCUCUUGUCAUGAUCAAGUCCGCUUCUAACCAAAAUUGCCUAGUUUUGCCGUUGUCCACUAGUUUCCUCAAGGCCAUGGCUUAGGGAUCCUUUUGUAACUCUUCUCGAAUCCUUUCUUUCAACGUUGACUUUGCUACGCUCUGGGAUAAUUGAGCUAUCUGCUUAGCAGACGAGUUGGAAUAAUCCUCUAGGCCCUCAGCUGCCGCUAUAGCUGCAUUGACUUCUGUCACCUUCUGUCUCCUUAAUUCAUUCUUGGCCCAAGGUUUCAACCCUUUCAUAAAGUUGUAAAAUCGAUCCUCCUCCAGCAUGUUCUCUAUGUUUAGCAUGAGACGUGAGAAGUCCCUCACGUAAUCUCGAACCGAACCUGUUUGUUGUAGCUCUCCCAAUUUGCACCGUGCAUCAUAUGCCACAUUCUCCGGACAAAAUUGAGCUCUUAACUCUUUGGCAAACAUGUCCCACGAUGUAACUUGGUUUGCCCCCGGCCCCGCUCUCACUAUUUUAUUACGCCACCACAAUUUAGCAUCAUCAACCAAGUACAAGGGUAAGAUCAACAGCUUGUCCUCCUCGGACUCUCGCUUGGUAACACUAAAGAACAACUCCAUGUCAAAAAGAAAAUUGUCUACUUCUUUUGCAUCCCUAGUUCCGCCAAAAGCUUUCGGCUCCGGGACCUUUGUCCUCUCUGCCCCACAAGUUUUCAUGUCAUUGCUCCCCGUAACUUUCAUAAUUGUGUUCACCCUCGCAUCAAGCUCCUCCAGUUUACCUUGGAACGUGUUCAUCAUCUCUUUGACAUUAUCAUUGAUCGUAUCGAUGGUCUCCUUAGCACCAUCUCUAAUCUCUUCGACAACCCCUACAAAAGAGGUAUGAGCAUCAGAAACAGAUUUGAGACUUUCCAUUAUGCCUCCCACUUGAGAGGCCACUGCCUCCCAUUCUGUCAUUUAGGACUCCAGAUCACCCCACCGGGUGUCCUUCGCUUGAAAAGGAUUUUGGGUGGCCUCAAGCUCUAUUGGCUUACCCUCACCUUUAGGCGAUUUAGCCCUCUUAGCCAAUCGCCGUUCAUUUUCUUUCUCUAGCGCCUCAAUGCGCUUAUAAGCAGAAUCAAACUCCAAUACCAUCCCCUCUUGGGUGGCAUAGUCCCUCAAUAGAGCAACAAUGUUCUCAACCCUUCUCUCAAGGGCAUCAAUGCGUGUGGUAGAUUUUGUCAUACCUCCACACUAUUCUCGAUCGUUCUGGCUUUGAUACCAAUUGUCACAGUUUCAGAUUUUGACACUGGCCUGGAACCGUGUGGCACUUGGUUUGAACUCUUUUCAAGCCAAGUCAGCCAAGCUCUCUACGCAUUCACCUGGACAAAGGAACGUAAAAGUUAGGACCUCCUGCCCCAUUCUCGUAAAAACGGAGAAUACCACAGUUACCAUAUGAAAAUAUCAUGAUCGGAUAAUUAUAGCAACUAAAAGCACAUCAACAAGCAACCAAGCACCGAGAUUUAUUGAAUAGGCUACUUAUUUUAUUCCAGGGGCAAAAUAGUCAUUACACAGUCAUGUCAACGAUUCAUUCCCAACUUGCAGACAGGGGGGAACGCCUGCAAGAAGAGAAGGCACAAUCCAGGGAC